rnacentral:sRNA from 1 species
AAGCACGCCGGUCGCGCAAAGGAACAGUGU